rnacentral:misc_RNA from 1 species
CCUAGAGUUGUAGGCUUUGCCUGCUAUCUCUUACCAUGUCUUUUGAGUACUUACGUUUCCUCGGCGGGUCCGCCCGCCGAUUGGACAAUUUAAACCAUUUGCAGUUGCAAUCAGCGUCUGAAAAACUUUAAUAGUUA